GGACAUAGUGCUAAUCUUGAUGCAAGAUAGGUGCAUGAUUUGCAAGGAACAAACCAUAUGCUUAGAAAUCAAUUUGGACGCACCUAAUGGAACUCCUAGAUGACGUGUGUCACAUGGAAUCUUGCUUCGGUCCAUUUGUAGACAUUGUAAGUUUUAGUGCAAGAUAGGUGCACAGUUUGCGCCUAAUGCACUGUAGUCUAAGAAACCAUUUUGGACGCACUAUUUGGUACUCCUUUGUGAAGAGGCUCAAGUGGAAGCUUGGUUCGGUCAGUUUGG
rnacentral:lncRNA from 1 species